AUGACUAACUUCAGCAAUGGUGCACCUAAUUGAUCAUUGAUGCAAAGACAAUUCCAAUUAUUUACUAAUAAAUAGGUUAUAACUGCCAAACAAGCGAUGACAGUCAACCCCUCCUUACUGUGUCGAUGAUUAAGGUACGCCUGUUAAUCACUACUCUAAUUGAGAAAUAAUCCUAAGUACGCCCAUAAAAUUUAAUUCCCCAAUUGCCUUACGUAUUAGAGGAGCCCUAUUCUAAUCAAAUAACGCACUACCAGGGUUAUUUUAGAUUAGCCCGCGUAUUCUCCUGACACAAACCUAAUCAUGCCAGUUGUCACUAUUUUAGAGCAAUUAAACAAUUACGGAUUUAAUGCCCUAAUUGACAAUAGAUUACCCAAUCAACUAAUUAUCUGGAUCCAAGACAAUCAAUUAAUUAAAUAACCAUAAGCAUAGCAAUCAAGGAAUAUGCGAAUACCAAUAAAUAAGAGAAAAAGAUUAAAUUAAAACGAUCUCACAAUUUUUAGACGACCCAAAGCAUCCGUUGUCCCUUGACUAGAAAGAAGACUUAGCCACGCCGCAUAAUUAAAUCACCACACGAAAUAAUUGAUUGCAAAGGCAUGGCGGUUUUUACUAGAAAGUAAGGAAUAAAAGAUGUUUUUCCCGUUGGAGAAUAUUGUCGAACACCUAGCGUGUGUCAGAGACCAGUCAAAAGAGAAAAACUAGAACUAAACUAAAAAGCUAAAACUAAAGCCGUCUAAGAGAUGUUCCUUUUCUUCUGUACGUCUUCCCUGAAAAAACCAAAAGAAAGAAGCCUAAAAGCAAUUUCCUGUGGUCCCCACACAUGUGGACAAAGCCUCCAAAUUACUUUUUGGUCCAAGUCUCUCUACGUUGCUUUCUUUGAAAGACCCAAAUGACCAAAUAUCUUCCACUAGCUUUGUGGUUCCCCACCAAUUCAAGGACCCAAGGUUUGAAGUCCUUAGAAGUCUCCAUAUUCUUCAUAAAGUCCCUCCUUUUUGGUAGUUUUUUGUUUCAUUCCUGAAAUUAAGUCAUGGUACCAAAUAUAAGUAAAUAUCAACAAUUAACACAAUAUUUGUCAGGAAUAAAAGGGAAAAUUAAUAAUAAAAUUACUAACAAAUUAUACCCUAUCAGUAAACCAUCAAAAGCAAUUCUUUUUCACCAAAAAGUCAAGAAUAAAUUCUAGUACAAAAAACUAUGAAAGAGAAAUAGAAUUCAAACUACCAUAACAUAAAGUCCCUACAAAUUUUUUAAUCUACGGGUCCGACAACUACUCUGGUCAACCUAACACAAAUUUCCUUGCAUAAUUACUUAGCAAAAUAUUAAAGCCUUACCUUUGAAAUAUAUGUCAAUUGGCAAAAAUGCAACUCUUUACAUCUGCAAUCACAACAAGAAGAAAGUGAGUUUUAGAAAAGAAAAAGGAAACCAUAAAAAAAAAAAAACACACACACACACACACACACAUACAUGGUCGGUAAAGGUUAAUGUUUCCAGUAAAACAUCUGGAACCAUGGAAGAAUGUCGAAACCUCCAUCAAAAUCAUCAUCAGUUCGUCUUCAAUCUCCAUCAUCCUUUCCCACCUAACAAAAGGAAAAAAAUUGACAAAAAAUUAGCCAUCACUCCGAGUCCAGAUUAAAAUGAUGAAAAUAUUUAUUGAUGAAACAUGCAAGGCAAAUCCUUAAAGAAAAAAAAAUGAAUCAUAUUAGAAAAUGAACUAUAAUGGAGAUUCAGUGAUUAUGAGGCCAAAAAAAAUGAAGUUUUCUUAAUAGCAAAAAAUCUGAUAGCAUAACAAAUAGAGACGUAGAGGAGAGGAGAAAAUGAUUUGUUGCUUUUAGCAAGGAAAAAAAUCAGGAAAAAAAGGCAAAAAAAACAGAAGAAAUUAACCAUUAUCACUCAAGAGACGAAAGAGGGAAAAGGGCGAUGAAGGAAAAAGAGAAAAAUGAAAGGAGAAACCAAGAAAGAAGGAGAAUACCAGCCCCUUUCACCUUGAGCCCCUCAUCCACCAAAUCCCAGCACCUUCUUAUCAAAUCCCAGCAUCUGCUGAGAAGAAAAAGAAUCUGGACCCACACGUACAAAGAAGGCUAUAGAUUGAGGAAGGACCUUGGGGCUACU
rnacentral:lncRNA from 1 species